UACGCUUUGUUGGGUAAGAAUCUGACCUAAAAAAAUUGGCUUCACUUCACAGUUUAAAAUAGACUUUUUCCUUAGACAGAUCAAAGAUACCUAGCAUUCAGCUAUGUUCAAAGGCUGCCAGGGAACUUCUGGCUUGCCAACAGCAAGGACACGGGGACAGGCACUUGUUGCUGUGUGAGCGAGGCCUGUGAAUGAUUAAAGAGGACGGACGAGCUUGUCCACAGGGAAGCUCAGCGUAGGUGAGUGGAGCAGAUGAAGCGAAAUCUACCCAGAGCACUGGGCUGCAUGUGAGACCUUGGCUUACUUUUGUACUUCCUACAGCUAGUCUGGAAAACCUUUCAGUCCAAAGUAAUCAUGAGAAGACACAAAAAUCAAAAACAUGUGAGAGAAGAAAAGACUAAUGAAAGCAGAGGUUCAUUUGGCUGUUUCUGAGACAACCAGAAGAGCAGCAAGCACUCCGGCAACUUCCACGCAGUCCAUUUUUAUUAUUCUUCCACUAACAGGCAAGAAGCCAGAGCUCCUGUAAAUAUAUGCAUAAUUCAUUUGUAAGCAGUCAGACCUCUACUUUUAUGGCUCAGCUGGCAGACAGAGGAGAAACAACUGGACAUUAGAGACUACAGUUGGAUGUUGGAAAGCAGCAGCUUGACUUCAGAGGGAGAGCUUGAUGGCUUAAUUUCAGAGAAGAAUCUGAUUGGAGACCAGCCAGACUUCAGGGGAAGACCUUUCUACUCUAUCCCCUUUUUAGCUUCCCUUUCUACUGAGAGCCACUUUCAUUGGCAAUAAAAUCUCCUGCAAUAAAAUACCAUCUUAAAUUCGUUUGUGCAACCUCAUUCCUCUUGGACGCUGGACAACACCUCGGGUGCCCUGAGUGCAGGUAUAAAAGGCUGUCACACUGCCCCCUUCACUGAGCUGUUAACACUUAAGCUGUCCACAGACGGCAGAGCUGAAAGAAUAGUGUAACAUUUCCUCUGGGGCUUCAGGGAUCACAGGGACCCCCCAAGAUGCUGCCAUGGGGCCGAUAUGGGGUUUGCUCCUGCUGGUGCCCAAAAGUGCUCACCCUGGCUCCUGUACCAGCUCACCUGCACUCCCUAUCCCAUGACAGGUGGAGCAGUGAAUAAGUGGAGUUUGC